CAGCAACAUUGGUCAGCCUGAAUACCCUGAUCGGCCAUAAAUAUGUCAGAAGUGCAGUCUCCCCCAGGAUAUCUGAAAUAUUAAUCGAUUACCCAAACGGUUACCAAGAAAUCCAGAUGAAAAGUAGCGAUACUCGCGAAGGACCAAGAUUAUACAUACCUGGAAAUUCUGGAGUGAACCAUCCUUCGACAGUUUUUACAGGAACAUCUAUGGCUUUUUCGGCAUCCCAGGUUCCGUCUGGUUUGCGGAAGAAUCUAAACAAUAAGAUUAGGUACGAUGAAGAUCACGUGUUUGAUGAAAUUAGUGGUCAUUUUUACAAUAAUACCUUACCUGAAUAUUUUACCCUGAAGAGCGCAACCAACAAAACCUUGGUCUGCUUUGGGAUUGUGAAGGAACCUUAUUUCCAAUGGGACUCCUCCUUCUUUACCUAAAUCGAUGACUUGUUCAAGUGUGUGCUUUGACCAAGAAUACACGUUGAGAGAUUGACCAUAGAGAUCUACAAUGAGAAAAACACAAUGUACCUAAUGCUUUUGGAAAACCCCUGAAUGAAAAAGUAGCAUAUGAGAGUGCUGUACCUGGAUUGGCUGCGUCGUCGAUAUUCAAUCCUUUCCUGAAAGAUUUCGGAGCGCCCCAUUCCGAAGCUAUGAGAACAUCGUGGAAAGGUUGGUACCAAAAAUCGUACCCGAAUUUGGCUUUUUUACCCUUAGUCCAAGUGCCUGCAGAAAAAACACGAGAUUUUUCAAUAUCAUUCCGAUGGUCUAUGAACUCGCGAUGUAAUAAGCGUUAAUUUCGCCAAGGCUGAUCAAUGAUCACUUGAUCAGUGAACCGUAAACGUUUACUGACCUUUUAAUUCCAAUGUUUGACCAUCGAUAACCACAAACUCGCCUAAACCGUUACCUUCUUUAUCGCCCAAUGCCGAAAUGAGUAUGUCACCUGUGGGUGCACAAUGUGUGGUGUGCAUUGCGGUCACUCCAAGUUUAUGGAUUUCUUCCGGUUCUAUUGUCUGUGAGCAUAAAUCGCGUGUGGAUAAAAUUGAAAAUAUUCGAAAGAGAGUCUUGAUCGUACCUUUUCAAUAUAAGGCUUCUUUGGGUCUUCGGCAUUAAGGAAGUAAAUUCGAUCACUGUUCAAGGCUGGUAUUACAAUACGACUUCGUUUAGCUCCAGGUAUCCCAUAACACCCGCUGCAUGCAUUGUAUCCAAAAUGGUGAAGUUCAUCGGCGAUAUUUGGCAUGUGGACUCGAUGGAUUACCUUUUUAAAGGACAAUUAAUUUGUACAAGUAAUCCUUAUUGUACUACUUGUAGGUUCAUUUUAAAUUUACCUGGCUAUAAGUUGGACUCUGAGGAUCGACGUCAAUCACAGCAAAAUAAUCGGGUCUUUUAUUCUUCGAAGGUUCUGGACAGAUGCAUAUCGUAUACAGGAGCUUUUCCCUCUCGCCGAAUUUGAUUGCAUCUUGAGGUGAAGCGAACCCGGGACCUUUACAAAA